AUGGAGGGACGAGAGGUCAGGAGUGGUCAGCCUGGCCCUGGGCUGUUGACUGACUCGGGACCUGGGUCCCCACCCUCAGGGCUGGCUGGCGGCUCUGCGCAGUCCCAGAGGGCCCCGGAUAGGGUUCUCUGCCACUCUGAACAGCAGCCGGGACUGCCGAGAGCGGCAAGGGGCUCCGUCCCCCACCCCCGCUGCCACUAUGGAGCCCGGAGGGCUGACUGGCCAGGUCCCCCAGAGCUGGACGUGUGCGUGGAGGAGGCCGAGGGCGAGGCGCCGUGGACGUGGACUGGCCUCUGCAUCUUCGCCGCACUCUUCCUGCUCAGCGUGAGCUACAGCGCUGCCAUCAUGCUCCUCAUGGUGCAGCAGUUCCUCUCAGCCACGCGGCAGGGGAGGCCCCAGACCUCCCUCGGCUACACCAACAUCCUUCAGCCCCACGCCUAGGCCAUGGGCCACUCACACUCCAACAGGCCCAGCUCUUUCUCUGCCGGCGCCUGAGCCUCCCUCGGGCUGCGCCCUGCCCUGGGUGGGAAAAGGGAAGCAGACAAGAGAAGGGGACACAAGGUCACUACUGUGGGCUGAUCAGUGAAUCUGAGCCCAGAGGGGGCCGGCUCAGCCGCAAGGUUAAAGGCGCCGACAGACCCACCAGUCGCAGCCCCCCACCCUAAAACAGUGUCUGUCCCUUCAACAGAGUCAUCGAGGAGGGGGUGGCUGCUAGCCGUUCUAGCUCAUCCCAGGCCCCUGGGUCUCAGGGUCACUCCCAUUCUGACUGUACAAUCACCAAAAGCCAAGGAGGGCCCGGCACCCAGCCCAGGACACAGCUGAGUCUGCGUCCAGCCCAACACCAGCCCACGGCCUCACUCCCCAGCCUUGGUCUGACCCUUCUAGCCCUGAGGUCCAAGUGCCUGGCAUCCCCGUCCCCCAAGCCUCACUCAGACCUUCUUUCCCUUCACCCACCCCUCCUGCCAUCCAUCCACUGCCCCCAUCCCUUCACCCACCCCUCCUGCUAUCUGUCCCCAGCCCCCAUCCCUUCACCCACCCCUCCUGCCAUCCAUCCGCAGCCUCCAUCCCUUCACGCACCCCUCCUGCCACCCAUCCCCAGCCCCCAUCCCUUCACCCACCCCUCCUGCCAUCUGUCCACAGCCCCCAUCCCUGCAGCCUGAAGGCACAGGGAAGCCUUCUGAGGCCAGGCCACAGGACUGUUGAGGGCUUUGGGCCCCUGGAGUGGGUAGAGGGGCUCCCACAGCCAGAGAAGGGGUUUCCUGCAGGGACAGCAGCUGCUGACCUCGUCCCUGUGACCUCGUCCAGCCUCUGGCUUCAGCAGUCCUAUUUCUUUCCCUCUGGGUUUCUUAGUAAAGUUCCUUUUCA